AAAAAAAACAAGAACCCGAUGCACACAAGAGGGGUUCUUCUCAGCCUCUCUUUCUCCUCUCUCUCUCUCUCUCUCUCUCUCUCUCUCUCUCUAAUGGAACAAAUCUUGUCCAGGGCUUCUUGUUAAUUUCGUAUGCCAUGGUCAAGACUCGGUGAAGGUUUUGGUUCUGUAGAUUUCGAACAUGUUGAGAUCCGUUUUGCUAUCUUGAUCUAUCUGGAAGAGCAUAUAAAAGCUGAGACCUCUUUGUUCUUGUGUAAGCUCUCUGGUUCACAGAUGAAGAGAAGUUUUGUUUGGUUCUUUAUGUGUGUGAACUUGUGAAUACACAUCUCGAGAAGAAGAAGAAUGGAGAAAGAAGCAGUGUUUGAUGAUAUAAAGUUAAGUGAUGAUGAGAUAUACUACCCUGAUGAGCCUUACUGCUCUGAGAAGAACGAAGAAGGCGAGGGUGCGAGUAAUGUGGUUUUUUCAAGAGAGGCGCCUCUGAUAGGAAAGGAUCCAGCUGGCACUAAUUCAAAUGAAUGUUGUGGUUGCAGUGCAAAGAAACUAAACUUCAAAGGCAGCGAGGAUCUCAUCGACAAGGAAAAUAAUUCUCCGCAGAAAAAGCUUAGUAGACAGGAAAGAAUCGAACUGGGGCGAGUCUUCCAAGGCGCUGUGACCUCAAUGGACUGGGAACAUGCCGAGAGGUUGAUUCAGUUAGCUGAUCCGCAGACUUUGAAUGAUCUGCUGUGCGUUGGUCUAGAUUCUGUUUGGUUCUUGACUACAAAGCAUGAGUUUCAGGGGGUUACUGGAUUGAUUAAGGAGAUCGUAUGUCAUGGUGCUCAUGACUUUACAAGAGCUACUCUUAGGACUUCGUUUCUCGCUUCAUGUGUCUCUGCUUGCCAUAGCCGGACGAUGAGUCUUGCUGAUAGUGUUACUGUAAUGGCUCAAAGUUUGCAGGAGCGUCUCCAAGAGUGUAACGGGGACGAGAUUCUGAAAGCAGAAGCUGGUGCAAAAGUUCAGAAGUUCACCGAAUGGGCUCUCAAAUGCAUAGGUUUCCACUCCCGAUGCCAAGGAGCAAGAGAUAGAGUUAGCCACAGUUCAGCUACCGAGAUUGAACUACAGCUUUCUGCUUUCAAGAUGUUUCUAGAACUAGCAGGGAACCAUCUCUCGGGAAGGGACUUCACUGAGGCUUUUGAUGCAGCUUGUUUCCCUCUCACUUUGUUCUCCAACUCCUUUGAUCCUGGUUGGGCGUCUGGCAUAUCAGCUACUGUCAUACAAGGACUCCUCGGUAUGCUUGUUGAAGGUGGUGCAGAUAACGUGAACCAAUGUUUCCUUGAAGCUUCACGGUUUGGUAGUACAGAACUUGUCCGCGUCUUGUUGCAUAUUGCUCAAAGGAACAGCUUAGAUGUGGAUGUGGACUUAGCUCUUGGUUUCGCCUCGCAUUACUGUAAACUCGGAACAAUGAAGUGCUUAGUGGAAGAAGGCAACGCCAUUGCCUUCUUAGGUCCUCUGAUGAGAGCGGCAGAGAGAGGCUGUAUGCAAGUUGUUCAGUGGUUUGUGAAAAGAGGUUGCCGAGACAUGGAGCUUUGUCUUGCUCUAACAGCCGCCACUUCGAGUAGCCAAGUCGAGGUCGCUGCUUAUCUCCUCCCUUUUGUUCCUUCACCUGUCUUAACAGCUCUAAGCAUCGAGAUCCUCAAAGCAGCUGGAGAAAGAAGCGGAGGGUCUCUCCAAGGAGUGGAGUUUCUCCUCAAAUCAGACUUCUUGGGAGAUCCAACGGCUACAUACUCAGUUGCAGACAGCAUAGCGAAGUCUUCAGAAGAUGAAACCGUUCCUUCAGAUCUUAAAUCGUUUCUCAGAGAGCAUUGGUCGGAGUCAGCUUUUGAGAAAGGAAUGAGAGAGAGCCAUGAGAAUUUCAUUAAUUUUAUGAGGGUAUUGAAGAGAGGAGAGUGUGCUAUCUCUUUAAGAGACCUUCCUGCGCCGCUAAGAGUAGCGAUUGCUUACAUGCCGCUGUAUAGAGAGUGUGUGAAUGCAGGUGGGCGGUUGCUGUCUCAGAGGCUGAGAGGACAGCUCGUUGAAGCUGUGAGACAGCUCCAAGGAUGUGAUGUUCCUGUUGUGGAAGUAAGCGAGACUCCUCACCUUAUGGCGGUUUUGGAGCAUCACCUUACGGCCAUUUUCUGUUAAAACCAUGAAAGAAGCAGGGAGACAGAGUUAACACAAGCCUCUCAGCAAAAUGGAUCUGCUUUGGACACAUUUUCUAUGGAUAGUUGGAAAAAUUAAGAAUGGAGAGAAAUAAAAGAGUAUGAUUUAAGGAAUGGGGUUUGAUAUGAUGCAUGUUUUUUUUUUUUUGUAUAUUUUUGUUCUUCCUAUAUAUAUUUUCAUAACUGAUGUAAUUUCUAACUUACGUUUGUAUCAUGAGAUCGUAUUAAUUUGAUUCUGAAACGAAAAACAAAGCUUUACAUUA